UUCAGUCUGUGACAUCCUAUGACUUGUUGACUGGAUAAUCCGGGCGAUAACCACUCUUCCUUUGUAUCGGAAUUCCACAGAACGCCCUUUGAGUCUUUGAUCGGAUGGACGUGGACACCCUCUGCAUUAAGAAUUUUUUGUUUGGUUUUGGACAUCAUGGAAGGACAUUUUCAUCUCCUGGUACUGUGCAUCCUCAGGAACUGGAAUAAAGUUGGCCAAAUGGCUCCGUGGGUAAAGGUGCUUGUCCCCAGACCACAUGACUGAAGGAGAAAACCAACUCACACGGUGUCCUCUCUCCUCUUCAUUUGAUAUGAUGGUGACGGGACAGGGUUUCUCUGUGUAGCUCUGGCUGUCCUGGAACUCACUCUGUAGACCAGACUGGCCUAGAACUCAGAAAUCUGCCUGCCUCUGCCUCCCAAGUGCUGGGACUAAAGGUGUGCACCACCACCGCCCGGCUGAAAUUCUUAUUAAAAAAAAAAAAAUAAGAAAAAGAAGUUCCUAUUGUUUUACUGCAACGCCUUCUGGGAGACAGGAAAGUUUAGCCAAAGGAUGAAAGCUGAAGAAACCACAUCACCCUACACUCGCUUUGUAGGAACCGAAGGAAAUGUUCUACAGUGCCUUAUAUCCAGGCCUCCUGGCCCUCCACCACGACGCAUGUCUACUCAAAGACAAGACAAAAGAUGGCCAUCUCUGAUACUCUAGAUUACCUCUGUGUCCAAAUCCUGUCCCCAGAGGGAGAACAGUAGAAACCAGACGAAACCAGACUCAGAACAUCAAAUCUCUUCCACUCAGUAAAGCCCCACAGCAGCUCCACCCCUCCCACCUAACCGAGGAGACCAAGCCGUGAACUUCCCGGCCUCAUAUCCUCCUGUGCCCGUCGGACUCCCUGUACAGGAAAUGCGGAGACCCUUGAGGAUAUUUAGAAUCCACAUCCCUUUCUCAAUGUUGUAACUUCAGCAACACUAAGAGAAAAUGGGAAGUUUCUUUGAGGAUCUUUCUCAAUUUACUAGGAACUUGCAGACCUGAGUUUUACCUUUUGACUUUCCAUGGGUGACCUAGUCUUCGUUCUAACUACUUGUUGUACUGCUGAAGUGAAACACAAGACAUGGAAGGAAACUUGAAAACACACACAAACUAUGCCCUUGGAAUCCUACUGGGCUGGAGUGCAGACCCUUUAAGACCAGGAAGCAGCCAAUCGGGCCAGCAUAGCAGGAAUCUGCAGAUGUAGGAUGAUGAUACAGUCUCAUCACAGGGGCACAAAUUAUAUUAAGAAAUCCGUUGGGCUGGAGUGAUGGCUCUGUGCUUAAGCAUAUUUACUGAACUUACUUGAGAGAAGGCCUUAAGGAAGUAGCUAGCUGUGGAAGGGUGUGACUAGCCUGUCACAAUGGUGCCACCAUGAGACAGGUCCAUGAAAUGUAAAAAAAAAAAAAAGUAAGGGAGGAAAUAGAAACUCCUAGUGAGGGCCAUAUGGCCGAGAACUGUGGAGGCCAGCCACAUGACUCUUUAUUCACAGCACGGACAUCAAACGCACCUUGUAAAAGGGCCCUUGUGUAGUCUGACUGGAUGCACAUAGAGAGUUGGAGCAUAAGUCUGUAAUCUUCCAUGUAUAUGAACUUACUCAGAUUUUCAGUUCAUUUCCACAGCACUGAUUACUGUACA